UACGAAGGGGGCGAGCGUUGUUCGGAUUUACUGGGCGUAAAGGGCGCGCAGGCGGCUCAUUUUGUCAGGCGUGAAAGCCCCGGGCUUAACCUGGGAACUGCGUUUGAUACGGACGGGCUAGAGUUCGGGGGAGGAGAGUGGAAUUCCCAGUGUAGAGGUGAAAUUCGUAGAUAUUGGGAAGAACACCGGUGGCGAAGGCGGCUCUCUGGACCGAGACUGACGCUGAGGCGCGAAAGCGUGGGGAGCAAACAGG
rnacentral:rRNA from 1 species